GGUCUAGUGGUAAGGAUGUUUGAAUCCCAGCCAAAAGGUUCUGGGUUCGAAUGCCAGCAGUCAA